CCCAGGGCCGACCGCGCAGGUCGCUGGUGAAGCACACGGGGCGACAGCGGGCAGGCCUUGCCAU
rnacentral:pre_miRNA from 1 species